rnacentral:rRNA from 1 species
GACGAACGCUGGCGGCGUGCUUAACACAUGCAAGUCGAACGGAAAGACCCUGCUUUUGUGGGGUGCUCGAGUGGCGAACGGGUGAGUAACACGUGAGUAACCUGCCCUUGACUUUGGGAUAACUUCAGGAAACUGGGGCUAAUACCGGAUAGGAGCUCCUGCUGCAUGGUGGGGGUUGGAAAGUUUCGGCGGUUGGGGAUGGACUCGCGGCUUAUCGGCUUGUUGGUGGGGUAGUGGCUUACCAAGGCUUUGACGGGUAGCCGGCCUGAGAGGGUGACCGGCCACAUUGGGACUGAGAUACGGCCCAGACUCCUACGGGAGGCAGCAGUGGGGAAUAUUGCACAAUGGGCGGAAGCCUGAUGCAGCAACGCCGCGUGCGGGAUGACGGCCUUCGGGUUGUAAACCGCUUUCGCCUGUGACGAAGCGUGAGUGACGGUAAUGGGUAAAGAAGCACCGGCUAACUACGU